ACUCCUACGGGAGGCAGCAGUAGGGAAUCUUCCACAAUGGACGAAAGUCUGAUGGAGCAACGCCGCGUGAGUGAAGAAGGGUUUCGGCUCGUAAAACUCUGUUGUUAAAGAGGAACAUAUCUGAGAGUAACUGUUCAGGUAUUGACGGUAUUUAACCAGAAAGCCACGGCUAACUACGUGCCAGCAGCCGCGGUAAUACGUAGGUGGCAAGCGUUGUCCGGAUUUAUUGGGGCGUAAAGCGAGCGCAGGCGGUUUUUUAAGUCUGAUGUGAAAGCCUUCGGCUCAACCGAAGAAGUGCAUCGGAAACUGGGAAACUUGAGUGCAGAAGAGGACAGUGGAACUCCAUGUGUAGCGGUGAAAUGCGUAGAUAUAUGGAAGAACACCAGUGGCGAAGGCGGCCCCCUGGACAGAUACUGACACUCAGAUGCGAAAGCGUGGGGAGCAAACAGGAUUAGAUACCCUGGUAGGAUAGCG
rnacentral:rRNA from 1 species